rnacentral:lncRNA from 1 species
GGGUAUCAGAAAAUCGCAAUCAAAAUCUAUUGGCUGCUGAAAUGGUGGACAAGCGGUAGAGAAGUGUCAGCACAUGUCAUCACUGAUGAGACAAUGGCAAAGCUCAUGGGCAGCUAGGAAAGAGACGAAAUGUGAUUAAAUUUCAGGUGCCAAUGUCUCCACAUAACAUUCCCCCCUGCAUUCCUGUCUUAAAAUAAUAAUAAAAGGAAGCAAAUGAGAGAAGGAAGUGCGGUGGAAUUUUAUAGCUGCGACAAAAGUCAUAAUCUAUGAUUAAAAAUCCAAUCCGCCCAGUAGUUUCUACUUAGCAAAGUUAAUCGGGAUUGCGCCUUUGGCGAGCCCAAGUUGUUUGAGUGUCGAUAAUAAAAAUAAUGAUAAUUUUUAAAAAAAAAAAUAAAAAAUUAAUUUGGGAUACAUUUUUUUUGGGAAAAAUUAUGUAUAUAUCCAUUAUUACUAAAAUAUCAAAUAGUUUCUGUUAUUACUGGAAUGUCCGUUUUUUUCACUUCAUAACGAUUUUUUUUUUAAAAAAAAAUGACUUUUUUACCCUUUUUCGGUUUUUGAACAGUUGAAAUAGCUAGAUUUUCGGUUGUUCAAAGACCGAAAAUAAGCUAAUUUCAGUUAUUGAACAACCGAAAAUAACGGUGCUUGUUUAAACUUAUGGAAUACGGAGUACUAUUAUCGGUUGUUGAACAACCGAAAAAAAAAAAUGCAAAUUCUAAGCUUUUGUCAUUUUUUUUGUUGUUGAACAAACGAAAAUAUGACAUUUUCGGAUGUUGAACAACCGAAAACAUGACAUUUUCGGAUGUUGAGCAACCGAAAAUGUUCUAGCAAGCUUCUGGAAUACACAGUCAUAUUUUCGAUUGUUCAACAACCGAAAACUAUACAUUUUUUGAUGUUGAACAACAAAAAAUAGAACUGCAUAUUCCAGCAACCUUCUGGAAUAUACAAUCUUAUUUUCGGUCAUUCAACAACCGAAAACAAGGCAUUCUCGGUUGUUCAACAACCGAAAAUAAAACAAAAAAAGGUAAAAAAGUCCUUUUUAAAAAAAUUUCGUUAUGAAAUGAAAAACGGACAUUCCAAUAAUAACGGAAACUAUUUGGUGUUUUGAUAAUAACAGAAACUAUAAUAGAUAUAUACGUAAUUUUCCCUCUCUUUUUUUAAAAAGUUUAUAUAGAGUUGAAGCUCUAAAUAAUCAAAUUAGAGCCUGCUUCAAAAAUUUCACUAGAUGAGGUCGUUUUGAUGUCCAAAUAUCCUCAAAUUAAUCACCUCAACAUUAAGAUAGAUGCAUGGACACGAAAGAAAAAAAUGGAUUUCAAGUUUUGAAAAUAAUGCAUAUUUGUAAUGCAUUUUUGGACAGUCAAUUUUCAAGAUUUUCAUAUAUCUGCUCGAUCUACGCUAUUUUUGAAGCUUUAAAUUUUAUAAUUAAAUAUAAAAAUAUAUUAUAAGUCUAUCACAAGUAUUUCCAGUAGUGAAACCACAUUUCUCCACACUAUAGAAGGUGCACUUUACUUUGAUUGUUUAAAGCUUCGUCUCCAUACAAACCACACCUUUUUUUAUAUAUAUUUCCGUCAUUUUAAAAAAGAUUGGAAAGUGUUUGUGUCAUAAAUACUUAUUUUACAUACUAUUUUUGAAUUAUUUCAAAAAUACCCCCAGCAGCAACCUCAUUUUUAAAUCUAUGUUUUUACUACUUUCUUAAGGUCAUUUUGAAGUGUUUUGCUUGAUCCUCCUUUAAACAUGCAUUUUCUAUUUUUAAAAAAAAAAUUUAUCUUUUUUUUAUAAUCAUUCGACUUUUUUUUUAGCUGCUAAUCACGUAGAAUUACUUGGACUAGGCUCGGACCACUCGGUCAGAGUCGCACUUCUAACAAUGGUCAUAACCACUCCAAAGACACCCUCUGAAAAAAGCUCAUAAAGGCUUAAUUGUGGUGAGAAGUGCAUCCUUUCUCUGAAGCCUAGAGAAGCUCUAAAAAGGCUUCUGGACAAUUACGCUGAGAAGUUCAGACCCUCUCUAAAUUGUGGCCAACGGUUGAUAAAAAGGACUGGGGAUUGUCUACAAAGAUAUUUUUUCGAACUUUGUAACCCAUCCAAGCUAUCAAACUUCGUAUGGUUACAAGUAAUUAUGACCAUCUUGUAUCAAAGAUAAAUAGCCUCAUUGUAUACAAUCUUUUCAUCUUUUGUACAUGGAUAUUACAAUCAUACUUGUCCCUUAAAUUUUAAAAUGGGUGAUUAUAAAAAUGCUAUUUAAUAGAUACAAAGUUCAAAAAAAAUUUCCCGAUCUUUGUAACUCAAUCCAAACCAUCAAAUUUGACAUCUAAAGAGCGAGAAUGCAUGUGACCUCCACAUAAAAAAGAUAAAUGGUUUCUCUAUAUAAAAAAAAUCCCAAAACUUAAUACCUUUUAAGUGACCCUUAGCCUCAGCUCCACUAAGCGUGUGUUUCUCACACAAAUUGAAAGUGCAUCAAGAAACCCUAAAUCUCUCUCCGUCUAUCACAAGACCUCAGGGGCUAGAAAAUGUCCCUGAUUUAGCCAAAAAGAAGCUUAUCCGUAAGCAAUAUAGGACUAAAAAUCUCUCUUAAGCAUGUUUAAAUUUUGAAAAAAAGGCUAAGCAAACUGAAAAAUUCAAUUGUUUUGAGACACUUUUAGGUCUUGCGCUCGACUAGAGUUUGAAAAACAGAUUAGUGAAUUGGAUCACCAUCUAGAAAACUAGUCCAAAUCGGUGAAUAGGCAGUCCUGAGAGUCGAUCUAGCCAAGUGAAUCAGCCAAAUAAAAAAAAAAAGGACUAAAAUAAUAAAUUGAAAGGAACAAAAAAAAAAAUGGACCCGGAUUAGCUUGUUCCUUGACAUAAACGAUCGGUUUUAUUAGAUAACUGGCCGCUUGUAAGAACCGACCAGUUUCCAAUAUAUGAUGGGAACCGGACUAAUCUCACUGAUUCCCGAUCCAGAUUGGUGUUUCAUAAAACCCUGAUCUCAACCAUCCUGAUACAAAUAUGACCUGUGUAUCACGGUCAUUUAUCAAUCAUGUUGACCCGUUCCAAUGUGCGCUCUCUCUCUCAAGUAAUUCAGUUUAGCAAAUAGAGAAAAUGAAGAUGAAAGAUCAUGUCAAACAACCAACAGUACACUAACUCAAAAAAAUUAAAGGUAAUUUGGAUGAUGCAGGGUGUCUUAAUUACUCUUAUUAUACAUCGAUUAGAAAUCCUUCCAGUUUGAGUAAGAUGUCGCAAUGAAUAAAUGACAUCCAUCCAAAAUGCCACGGUUCUUUAGGGAGGAUGAAUUCCUUGUUAUGGUCUAGAAAAAGUAUUAAUGCUGCUUUUUUAAACACAGCACCAAAAUCAACAUGAAUCAGAGGAAAAAAAAUAGAUAGCUAAAAAAAAGAUCAAGUGAAAGGAGUAACAGAUUAAUAUAGAAACACUCAAACUGAAAAGCCUAUGAGAUUAAAAGUGAAAGGUGAAAACAAAGGCAUUCGAUCUUUGAAGUUCAGUGUUGUUUAUUCAGCAUCAGAUAAAACCCAAAACCUAGAAACCCCACAAAAGAUUCCAUGCUUCUAAAAACUGA